rnacentral:lncRNA from 1 species
GCACUGUGUAUCCCUUCUCUACAGCCGUGGAAACCAAGCCUCAGGGAAGCUCAGGGGCUUGCUAGGCGGCGACACAGCCAACGAGUGCCAGAGCCGGAAUCCAAGCCCGCUUCAGGCUGUGUCUGCAGAUCGUCUCAGAGUCUGCCCACCUCCCUCUACUGUGCUUCAUCAUAUGUGAAAAUCUGAUUUCUCUUUCAACGGCUGCCACAGAGAGGCCCAGGGCAUGGCCACCGACAGGCAGAGGGGAGCACCCAGCUGGAGCUGUUGACAGCACCUUCCUCCUUCCCAGGGAAACACAGCUGGACCGCUUGGAGUCUCCACGUCUGACACCCAGGUGUGCCUCUCCAGCCACCUGUCUGGCUGCCACCCAGGGCGCCCAGCUGAGGGCUGCGGGGGGGCGGUGGGGGGGUGCCUGCCGCCCAGGCUGGGUCAUUGGAGCUGAGCCGGGAGCUGACUG